rnacentral:rRNA from 1 species
GACGAACGCUGGCGGCGUGCUUGACACAUGCAAGUCGAACGGAAAGGCCCUGCUUUUGUGGGGUGCUCGAGUGGCGAACGGGUGAGUAACACGUGAGUAACCUGCCCUUGACUUUGGGAUAACUUCAGGAAACUGGGGCUAAUACCGGAUAGGAGCUCCUGCCGCAUGGUGGGGGUUGGAAAGUUUCGGCGGUUGGGGAUGGACUCGCGGCUUAUCAGCUUGUUGGUGGGGUAGUGGCUUACCAAGGCUUUGACGGGUAGCCGGCCUGAGAGGGUGACCGGCCACAUUGGGACUGAGAUACGGCCCAGACUCCUACGGGAGGCAGCAGUGGGGAAUAUUGCACAAUGGGCGGAAGCCUGAUGCAGCAACGCCGCGUGCGGGAUGACGGCCUUCGGGUUGUAAACCGCUUUCGCCUGUGACGAAGCGUGAGUGACGGUAAUGGGUAAAGAAGCACCGGCUAACUACGUG